AUGGCUCCAUCCUUUCCCGUGACCCCUAACAAAAUCCAUCUGUAUAGGAAACAACUCAGACGUAAGCUGCCAGUGGCCCUACUGAACACAAAGUGGAGAGAGAAGCUGCCAGUGGCCCGACUGAACACAAAGUGGAGACAGAAGCUGCCAGUGGCCCUACUGAACACAAAGUGGAGACAGAAGCUGCCAGUGGCCCGACUGAACACAAAGUGGAGACAGAAGCUGCCAGUGGCCCUACUGAACACAAAGUGGAGACAGAAGCUGCCAGUGGCCCUACUGAACACAAAGUGGAGACAGAAGCUGCCAGUGGCCCGACUGAACACAAAGUGGAGACAGAAGCUGCCAGUGGCCCUACUGAACACAAAGUGGAAACGGAAGCUGCCAGUGACUACUGAACACAAAAUGGAAACGGAAGCUGCCAGUGACUCUACUGAACACAAAGUGGAAACAGAAGCUGCCAGUGACUCUACUGAACACAAAGUGGAAACGGAAGCUGCCAGUGACUCUACUGAACACAAAGUGGAAACGGAAGCUGCCAGUGACUCUACUGAACACAAAGUGGAAACGGAAGCUGCCAGUGACCCCACUGAACACAAGUUAAGUGUUCUAUACAAUAUAGAAUUCCAAUAACCCAUUGAAAAGCCCUCACAAGUCCUACUUAAUGAGUUGGUGAGUCAAUAGUUCCCCCUAUGGGCCAGAAACGCAGCUACAUAACGGUAUAAUGGAUUCCACAGCUAAUGUGAUGCUGGUCAUUUGCUGUGGCAGCUGGUAUAUGGCCACAGCAUUAGGGAGCAGCUCACGCGGACUCAUGUCUCAAUAAACCCUGAACCGAGCUCAUUCAUUUAUGUAUGGGUAGAAAGGGGCUUUAAAAUCAGCGUUCCCCAAGAGCCAGUGCUGAGACAGCAUAGGAAGCACCGCUCCAGAAACUCUUGCCCUGUGGGCACUUGGAAUGGCAUCUUAGAAAUGGCAAACUAUUGAAUAUUAAAGCUUGAACUAAAGAGAUUUCUCUUUCUUUGAGGAUAUUAGUGGGAGAGAGGAGCCAAGCUGUGCUAUGUACAAAGAUUUCCUUUAAUUAUUUAUAUUCAGUUAAAUAAUUAUUAACACCUCCAGACUUUGAAUGACUGGCAGGUUUUUGGCUGCUGUGCUUUCUUGGGUGGCACAGAAUAGUGUCGGCUACAAGCUUGGGGAAAGGGUGCAUGUCAAUUGUCUAAAGUGGCUUUUUAAAUUUUGUAUUAUCUGCACUGAACUGAACAUAGAAUAGGUAGAAUGUCCUAUUGAAGGAAAGGAGUUGGUAGAGGAAGCUACUUAGACUAUUGAGAUGUACCCAUGGAGUGAGAAUCUGUCUCAAAUCCUAUCACAGUGUGUGCUGACAGUGUAGUUCAUAUUUAACUCCCAGGGAGAAAGGUGUUAUUUUUUCUGGCCCAUUAAACAGUGUAAUGACCAUCCUGAUCUGCUCCUAAGAUGUUUGAUUUGAAAUGCCAGCCUGAUGGUUCCAGCCCCUGAUGCCAGAGAGAUGGCAUAAUGUAGCACUGCACCUAAUGAACGAUGCCUGCUCUUCAUGCCCAUUAGAUUGCAUGACCUUUCGCAGAAAGAAGAGGAAACUGAUUGUUUGUACAGGUGUAAUUUUUCUGCUCCGAAAGCAUGUCAUAUUUAUUAUUGUAGAAUUAUUAUCAGAUUUUAGAUGCUGUUCUUCGGGAGACGGUUUUCUCUGAAAGCUGAGCCAUAUUGUCUUUCUCUCACAAACAAGCUCCAAACCAAAAUUGUAGAUGGAAAUUUCAAAGAAAUGAUUUGCCUGAGUGAAUUGUGAUUUCCUGAGUGAUUCUGAGGGUAAAAUAAAUGAUAGAGGGCGUUGCAUUUCUCAUUCUUUCAGACAGUGAUCUGCAGAAAGCCACACUGUAGAACACCCCCAGUUUACUUUAUAUGGUCAUACAACAUGAUUGUGCUAAUUUUACAUUUUAGUAAUUUACAGACAUUCUUAUCUGGAGAGACUAAAAUCUCAUUUUAUUUGUCACAUGCUUUGUAACCAACAGGUUGUAAUACUUACUUACUGGGCCCUUCCCAACAAUGCAGAGAGAAAGAUAAUUUAGAAAUAAUAGGAAAGUAAUAAUAAAUACAAAGAGUAAUGAUAACUUGGCUAUAUACACGAGGUACCAGUACAUAGUCAAUGUGCAGGUUGUAGCAGUAUUUAUUAGAGAGGGGUAAAGAUACAGAUUUUGUUCGGGCGCCAGGCAGGUAUUAACCAUGCCGAAAGGAAAAGAGUAGAAUAGAGAGAGUACCACUACCAGACCCACACACAGCAGAAGAGACUGCCUAGAGUGUAGCCUGUUUCCCAGAUAGUCCGUGGAGAGAAAAGAGAAUACACACCCUAUAAAACCCACAUCACAGCACAGGGGUAACCCCACCAAGAAUACCUCAUACAAUAAUAAUAAUAAUAAUAAUGGCAGAGCAAAUUAACAGCAACUUCAUACAAGAAAGAACCCAGUCAUCAACAGAGGAUUUGCAGUAAUAUAUAUUGUCUUUCAGUGGAGGAGUGCAGAGGGUAUGAAUGUGGGGGGUGUUCAUAGACACAACAAAGGCCUUAAAAAUGUCCCCAAUCUUCUCGGCCACAUGUCAUUAGUACACCCCACCUCAAUACAGUUCAAAUAACAAUAUACAACUUGCAACAACCUCCCUUUUAACUAAAAUGUCCACCCAAAUAAUCCUGGCAGGGCAAUAAUAGUCCGGCUCUAAUGAACAUCAAUGGGAAGUGCAUUUGAAAAAUAGAAAAUCUUUUGCAGGGUAAAGCACUGGAACAAUAGAGGGAAGAGAAAGAGAACAAGAGAGAUCUUAGCUGUGGUCUUCAGGCUGGCAGUUGUCCUGUCUGACCGUCUGAUGGUUUGUAUGUUAAAGCUUCACAACAAUGUUGCUACUAAUCCAUGCAAUCCAUAACAGGUGCGGUCCCAAACGAUAACAACCACAACCUAGAGGGGUGUUAUGGGAUUUAUAUGAAUAAUGACUAAAUGAUGUAUACAUUUAACGUAGAACUAUAAUUAAACAGAAUACUACCCUGUCACUGUAUGAAUGUAUGAAUCUUAUUAUAAUCAUAACACUGAAAUUAAUGUGUGUAGUUUUAGUUAUGAAUUAGAACAAGGACUUUCUGUUCCUUGUUAGAAACUAAUGGAGCUAUCGUCAGACCGGCUGGAAUACUGUGUUCCUUACAGGGCAUUCUGUCCCCACCCAGGGAGGGGAGAGACCUUGGGCUUGUAGUAGAUUGUUUAACAGGUGGCAGAAAAUGUGCAUGAGUAGGAGAAGACUUGUGAACUAUGUUGCCAUUGUAUCUGAGAGGAGGGGUAUUUAUGACGAAAUGUGAGGUAUAUAGACCAAUGUACAGGAAAUGAUAAGCAGAACGUUCCCAUUAAUAAACAUUUAACUAUUGUACUAUUGUAGACUGGGCCUCUAUCUGUCUUCAUUUAUAUCAGUAUCUUACAAAUCCUGAUAUAGCAGACUGAGUAAUUACAAUUGAAUUGGUUAAUGAACACGAGAACCAAAUUCUCUUGACAAGCCGUCACACCGAUGAUUGAGUUAAAUACUUAAAAAAUUAACAAGGACAUCUGCAGCAUAGCACACACAAUCAAACUAUCGCGCCAACCAAGAGCUCCUCCCCAGAGAGCUGAAAGAGCUGUCUUUAUUUCCUCCUUCCUUACAGCUGAUGCACUCUUAAAGUGGCAGCGCAUGGUGAAGGCUCCGUGCAGGAUUUCGCCACAAGGUGUAUGAGAUAAAUAUGUACAUUUAACCAGGAAUAGUGUGACUAGGCAACAGGAUAGUUAAAACAGUAUCAGUAGUGCAUGUGAUGAGUCAAAAAGUCUAUGCAGGUAGAUAUUUGGUUCACUAUUUAACUAACUAUAGCAGUAUUAUGGCUUGGGGAUAGAAGCUGUUCAGGGUUCUGUUGGUUCCAGACUUGGUGCAUCGUUACUGCUUGCCGUGUGGUAGCAGAGAGAACGGCCUAUGACUUGGGGGGAUGGAGUCUUUGACAAUUUUUAGGGGCUUCCUCUGACACCGCCUGGUAUGUUGGUCCUGAAUGGCAGGGAGCUCGGCCCCAGUGAUGAACUAGGCAGUACGCCCUACCCUCUGUGCGCCUUACGGUAGGAUGCCAAGCAUUUGCCAUACCAAGCGGGGAUGCAGCUGGAUCAGUCAAGAUGCUCUCAAUGAUGCAACUGUAGAACUUUUGGAGGAUCUGCGGGCCCAUGCCAAAUCUUUUCAGCCUCCUGAGGGGGAAGGGGUGUUGUCGUGCCUCUUCACGACUGUGUUGGUGUGUGUGGCCCAUGAUCGAUCCUUAGUGAUGUGGACACGAGGAACUCUCAACCCGCUCCACUACAGCCCCAUUGAUGUGAAUGCGGGCAAGCUCGGCCCUCCGUUUCCUGUAGUCUAUGAUCAGCUCCUUAGUCUUGCUGACGUUGAUGGAGAGGUUGUUGUCCUGGCACCACAUUACCAAAUUGACCUGUCUCAUUGUCAUCAGUGAUCAGGCCUACCACCGUCAUGUCGUCAGCAAACUUAAUGAUGGUGUUAGAUACGUGCACGGCCACGCAGUCAUUGGUGAACGGAGAGUACAGGAGGGAACUAAGCACGCACCCUUGAGUGGCCCCCGUGUUGAGGUUCAACAUGGCGGAUGUGCUGUUACCUAUCGUCAUCACCUG
rnacentral:lncRNA from 13 species